rnacentral:rRNA from 1 species
GACGGAGGGGGCAAGCGUUGUCCGGAAUCACUGGGCGUAAAGGGCGCGUAGGCGGCCUUCUAAGUCGAACGUGAAAUCCCCGGGCUCAACCCGGGAACUGCGUCCGAUACUGGGAGGCUUGAAUCCGGGAGAGGGAUGUGGAAUUCCAGGUGUAGCGGUGAAAUGCGUAGAUAUCUGGAGGAACACCGGUGGCGAAGGCGGCAUCCUGGACCGGUAUUGACGCUGAGGCGCGAAAGCCAGGGGAGCAAACGGG